AACGAACGCUGGCGGCAUGCCUAACACAUGCCAGUCGAACGAUGCCUUCGGGCAUAGUGGCGCACGGGUGCGUAACGCGUGGGAAUCUGCCCUUGGCUUCGGAAUAACAGUUAGAAAUGACUGCUAAUACCGGAUGAUGUCCCCCUGAGAGAUCUUGGGGACCAAAGAUUUAUCGGCCAGGGAUGAGCCCGCGUAGGAUUAGGUAGUUGGUGGGGUAAAGGCCUACCAAGCCGACGAUCCUUAGCUGGUCUGAGAGGAUGAUCAGCCACACUGGGACUGAGACACGGCCCAGACUCCUACGGGAGGCAGCAGUGGGGAAUAUUGGACAAUGGGGGGAACCCUGAUCCAGCAAUGCCGCGUGAGUGAUGAAGGCCUUAGGGUUGUAAAGCUCUUUUACCAGGGAUGAUAAUGACAGUACCUGGAGAAUAAGCUCCGGCUAACUCCGUG
rnacentral:rRNA from 1 species